rnacentral:lncRNA from 1 species
AAUGUUUAUCGCUAUGUUUAUGUCUAUGUCUAUGUCUAUUGUUGGGAUAAGCUUGAAAGAGAAGAAGUGACUUGAAGAGCAAGUUACUAAAGAGAUAAGGAAAUUAAGCUUUUAUUAUUCUAGGAGAUAAUCUAGAAUAUAUUGUUAGGAGUUAUCUUAUAUUAUUAGGAGUUAUCUAAUAAUUAGGAUAAGGUUAAAAGCUUAUUAUAUAAGGAGGUAUCAAGGUGUGAUACAACUUAUGGGUUUUAAAGUUGCAGAGUUCAUAUGACCCAUCCUCGCAUGCCAUAGACUUGCUUCACUAACGCUUGUUAGAUACAAGCAUUCUCUGUUUCUUAGCCCCAUCUGAACUUUAUAUAGCCUGUUUUUGGAUUUCUCAGCUUUCACAAGUAGCUUACCAUCUUUAUCAAACAUUGUCAAGUAGUUUCCUUUUAAGCGUAUGUCACACCCCGACUCUGUAGCUUGCCCAAGGCUAAUGAUAUUGGAUUUCAAAUCGGGUAUGAAAUAAACAUCAUUCAUGAUUCUCGAUGUUCCAUUCAUAUCAGUGAAAGCAAUUGUGCCUUUUCCUUUAAUAUCUAUCCGAGAAUCAUCUCCAAAUCUCACCUUUCCAGUGACUGAAGCAUCAAGUUUAUUGAAAUAUCUCCUAUCUCCAGUCAUAUGGUUGCUAGCUCCAUUAUCAAGAUACCAAAGAUCAUCACCACAUGUUUCGAUUUUGCUAGGCACACAAUGUUUCUCAUUCAGGUAAACGAUCUCAUUCAUCAUGAGUUCAUCUGCAUCUUUUGUACUUUUAGCAUCGUUUUCUUGUGUUUCCUGCAACUUAAGAAGACGAUCUGGACAUUGAGAUGCAUAGUGACCCAUUUUAUCACAACGGAAACAUAUUACUUGUGAAAGAUCUCUUGAACCAUAUCUUCCACGACCUCUUCCUCUGUAGUUUCCUCUGCCACCACGUCCUCUGCUACCAUGAUAAUCUCGGUUUGAAUCUGAACUAGCAUACAUCAACUUGCUUUGAUCAUCUUGAGUCUCAUCUUCUUCAUCCCAUACUCUUUCUUCAUAAACCUUAAUCCGUCCAACAAUGUCUUCAAAGCUUGUAUUCUUCAAAUCCAAAACUUGUUCAAGAGAAGCCACUAUUUGUAUGUAUUUCUUGCGUGGGAGACUCUUAAGAAACUUUUUGACAAGUUUCUCUGUUUCAAUAUUUUCUCCUAAGGCAGCAGACUUUGAUGCUAUCUCAGCCAACCUCCCGGAGAAAGCUUCAAUAUUCUCUGAGUCUUUCAUCUUGAGGCGGUCGAACUCAUUCAUUAAGGUUUGUAACCUUGCUUCUUUUACUCUCUCUGCUCCAACGUUCUUUUCUUUGAUUGCUUCCCAUACUUUCUUCGCUGUAUCUAACUCUCCAAUUUGCAGCACCAUAGACUCUGGUAUUGCUUGGAAAAGUAGAUGCAUGGCCAUAUCAUUCUUCUCGGGAUCGUUCGCUCCUGUUUCAAUGACAUCCCACGUUUUGUGUACCUUAAGAGCCACCUUCAUCUUCAUAGCCCAUACCGUGUAGUUUGUUGUGUUGAGUAUUGGACAUUGAAUAGAUGUAGAUGCUCCUCCUUCUUUCGGUUUCUCGAUCGUAACAGCAACUUCAGACAUCGUUUUGUUUUUAGGGUUUUUAUGAUCUCAAAACACUUUUGAUUUUGCUCUGAUACCAAAUAUAGAUUUUAAGGGAGAUUAAGAACACAAGUAUAAAGAAUAUCUCUCUUUAUUAGUUUAGGAAAAUUCUCUCAAAACCUAAACUCUCAAUCUCUCUUAAAACCCAUAAGUUGUAUCACACCUUGAUACCUCCUUAUAUAAUAAGCUUUUAACCUUAUCCUAAUUAUUAGAUAACUCCUAAUAAUAUAAGAUAACUCCUAACAAUAUAUUCUAGAUUAUCUCCUAGAAUAAUAAAAGCUUAAUUUCCUUAUCUCUUUAGUAACUUGCUCUUCAAGUCACUUCUUCUCUUUCAAGCUUAUCCCAACAUUUUCCCCUUUAAGCUUGAAAUCUUCUUUCACCACAUCUUGAACUCCCACAAGAUCCCUCAUCUCUUUGAACUUAAUCCUUCCAAGAGCCUUGGUCAAAAUGUCCGCCUUUUGCUCAUUCCCCGGAACAUGCUCGACUUCAAUUUGUCCGGUCUCUACACACUCUCUUAUGAAAUGAUAUCUCCUAUGAAUGUGUUUGCUUCUUCCAUGAAAAACAGGAUUCUUGGUGAGAGCUAUAGCCGAUUUGUUGUCAAUGAGUAUAGUAACCUUUCCACACACUGUUCCGGUGAUCUCACUUAGUAGUUCUUGAAGCCAAAUAGCUUGUUUUGCCGCUUCAGUCCCUGCCAUAAACUCAGCUUCACACGAUGACAGAGCCACAACAUCUUGUUUCGACGAGCACCAUGUUAUUGGACUUUCUCCAAGAUAAAACACAUGUCCUGCAGUACUUCUACCAUCAUCCGGAUCAACAUUGUGGCUGCUAUCGCUGUACCCUACUAACUUUGGUAUCUUCUCACAUCGCUUAAAGAUUAGACCAAGUGAUGUAGUUCCCUUCAAGUACCUUAGACACUGUUUCAUUGCAGCCGCAUGGGAGACUCUCGGACUUUGCAUGUACCUGCUUAGAACUCCCACACAAUAUGAUAAGUCUGGUCUAGUGUGAAGGAGAUACCUUAAACAACCCACAUUCUUUCUAUACGCAGUGGCAUCAACUUCCUCUUCUUCCUCUGCUUUUGAAAAUUUCAAGCCCAUCUCCAUUGGUGUAUGAACACGAUUACAAUCUAUCAUACCAGCUUCUUCUAAGAUCUUGAGAGCAUACCGAUUUUGAUUUAAAGCUAUACCAUCUUUGUGUUGAAUGACUUCUAUUCCAAGGUAGUAUGUUAGCUUUCCAAGGUUACUCAUUUCAAAUUUAGAAGACAUCUCCUCUUUGAACUUGUUGAUGAUGUCUAGAUUUGUCCCUGUAACAAACAAAUCGUCAACAUAUAUAGCAAUGAGAAGAAGAUCCUUGCUCACUUCUUUACGAUAGACAGACGGUUCCUUAGAGCAUUUUAAAAACUGCAGUUCCACAAGGAUAUGAUUCAGCUUAUUGUUCCAAGCUCUUGGUGCUUGUCGUAAGCCAUAUAAGGCUUUGUUGAGUUUGUACACUUUGUCUUCACUUCCCUUUCUUUCGAAACCUUCAGGUUGAUACACAUAGACCGUUUCUUUUAGUUCUCCGUGAAGGAAAGCUGUUUUGACGUCUAGGUGGUGUAUUUCCCAUCCAUGUGAAGCUGCGAGGUUAAUGAGUAACCGUAUGGUUUCAAUUCUUGCCACUGGUGCAAAAACUUCUUCAAAGUCCACUCCAUAUUGUUGUACAUACCCUUUGGCAACAAGGCGAGCUUUGUACAAAAGAGAUAAGGAAAUUAAGCUUUUAUUAUUCUAGGAGAUAAUCUAGAAUAUAUUGUUAGGAGUUAUCUUAUAUUAUUAGGAGUUAUCUAAUAAUUAGGAUAAGGUUAAAAGCUUAUUAUAUAAGGAGGUAUCAAGGUGUGAUACAACUUAUGGGUUUUAAGAGAGAUUGAGAGUUUAGGUUUUGAGAGAAUUUUCAUAAACUAAUAAAGAGAGAUAUUCUUU